GAACAAACUGGUGGCAUCACAAGAGAUCAGACAGCACAAGGGAGGCUGAAUAAGGAUUCUGUCAAUUACGGCUCUAGGGUACAUGAGGCUGUAAUGGGGGCUUGUCGAACAUUGACCGUUUUGUUAACCAUUCUGGUGGCAAUUGAGGUUGCUACUACACAAACUGUUGCACAAAACUGUGGUUCUGAAGGUUCAACUGCAACUACAUUAUCUGAAGAAACUACAUCAACAUCAACUGAAUGUUCAACUUCAACUACAGAAACAACAGCAACUGAAGGUUUAACUGCAACUACAGCAUCUGAAGAAACUACAGCAUCAACAACAACUGUCAUUACGGCACAAACAACAACUGAAAGUUCAACUGGAACUACAGAAACAACAUCAUCAACAACUACUGAAGGUAUAACUGAAACUACAGAAGCAACUGCAACUACAGCAUCAACAACUGAAAGUACAACUGAAACUGCAGAAACAACAGCAACUACAGCAUUAACAACAACUGAAGG